UACGGGGGGGGCAAGCGUUGUUCGGAAUUACUGGGCGUAAAGGGCGCGUAGGCGGCCUGCUAAGUCGGACGUGAAAUCCCUCGGCUCAACCGGGGAACUGCGUCCGAUACUGGCGAGGCUUGAAUCCGGGAGAGGGAUGUGGAAUUCCAGGUGUAGCGGUGAAAUGCGUAGAUAUCUGGAGGAACACCGGUGGCGAAGGCGGGACUCUGGGCCGAUACUGACGCUGAGGAGCGAAAGCGUGGGGAGCAAACAGGG
rnacentral:rRNA from 1 species